GACGAACGCUGGCGGCGUGCUUAACACAUGCAAGUCGAACGGAAAGGCCCUGCUCUUGUGGGUUGCUCGAGUGGCGAACGGGUGAGUAACACGUGAGUAACCUCCCCCUGACUUUGGGAUAACUUCACGAAACUCGGGCUAAUACCCGAUAGGAGCUCCUGCUGCAUGGUGGUGGUUGGAAAGAUUCGGCGGUUGGGGAUGGACUCGAGGCUUAUCAGCUUGUUGGUGGGGUAGUGGCUUACCAAGGGUUCGACGGCUAGCCGGCCUGAGCGCGGGGACGGCGACAAUGGGACUGAGGUACGGCGCAGACUGCAACGGGAGGCAGCAGUGGGGAAUAUUGCGCAAUGGGCGGGAGCCUGAUGUAGCGGUGCCGCGUGCGUGAUGCCGGCCUACGGGUUGUGAACCAAUUUCGCAGGUAACGAGGCGUGAGUGACGGUAAUGGGUAAAGAAGCAACGGCUAACUACGUG
rnacentral:rRNA from 1 species